GAGUCCGGAGAGGGGACCGCGGGGAGAUCUAUUGGUGGAGUUCCGCUACCAGCUAUGAAUAUGAAAGUACAGUCGGCUUACCCAAUCUCAGUUCCAAUCCACUUGAGCCUAACCAACCUUCGUACCGGAACUUGUUAAUUGAGUGACUUCCGUGCCUACACAACUCAGUUGAGCUUCUUCUCUACUUGUCACUCUUCGCCCCGAGAGUUAGGAGAAAGGCUUCACCUAUUUCAUACCCUUGCCGUCCUACCACCUCUCCUUCUUACUUGUUAGUCGAGAUACCAACCCUCCAACUCAGUCUUUCCGCUUCCCGGAUUAUCAGUCGAGUUACUAGGCUCCUAGAAAGAUUUCGCUUCUACAACGCCUUUGAAGUUGAGCUUCUUCAAUCCUCUCCUUAUCAAUCAGUCGAGCUACUUCGUGCCUCUAACCCUAUCGUUUCGUAAACUAAACUAUAACCUUUGAAGUCGAUCUUUACGUCGACCCGUGGAAUGGAAACUAAGACAAAUCAAGUGCAAUCGCGCUUUCGAUCUUAUAAACGAUAUUCC
rnacentral:misc_RNA from 1 species